UAUUCUUUUUGAAGAAAAAAAAAAAUUGUUAUACUCUUUUUUUUCUCCUAUGCUAAAGCAAAUGAUAGAUGUAUCGUUUGAUAGCAUUUAUCUUUAAAGAAAGUUAUUUCUAUGUGUUAAUCCAAUAAAUCCUUCCACAGAACUACAGUUAAAAUGUAAUUACGUAAAAUUGUAACUUUAUUAGUAUAGUAUGUCCAAGAAGAAUGAAAUCCCAAUGGUUUUUCAUGCCUUUACAACCAAUAUCUUAUAAGAUGAAUGGAUCCUUUAUAUGCUAUUAUGUUCAGUUAUAAGUGGCUUUCUGUGAGUAAUACGAUUGUCGAAAAUUUACUUGAAUGUAUUAUGGGCAGCAAUUAUUAUUCCUGAGCAAAG
rnacentral:misc_RNA from 1 species